rnacentral:lncRNA from 1 species
UGUGGCAAAUUUUUAAUCACAAAAAUAAAAACGAGUAUCUUGGUACUUCAUUCCUUUGUAUUGACAUCAAGGUAUGUGGUAUCUUAAUUAUUUAUCAUAAUAUAAAUAGAGAAUAAAUACAAUUAUUAACAUAAUGAAAAUAGGGGGAGACAUACGAAGGCAGGAUUGGUAGCAGACUUCCAGUAGAAACAACUCAGAUCCUGAAAGAGAAUAGGAUAUAUCAAAUUCAGUAUUUAUCCCUCUUACAAAAUAAUCAACGGUACAAGCUCACUAUUCAGCCAUACAUUAUUCAAAUCAAAGCUUCGACAAAGAUUGAACGAGUAGAAGAAGAAAUCCCGAUGAUGCCUCAUAGCACUUUCCAUCCUCU